rnacentral:rRNA from 1 species
AAACUCUGCAAUGUGGGCAACCACGACAGGGGAACUCCCAGUGCCGGCACUAUGUGCCGGCUGUUUCCAUGUCUAAAAAACAUGGAGAGUAAGGGCUGGGUAAGACGGGUGCCAGCCGCCGCGGUAAUACCCGCAGCUCAAGUGGUCGCCGCUAUUAUUGGGCCUAAAGCGUCCGUAGCCGGCUCUGUAAAUGCCCGGGUAAAUCGACGUGCUUAACACGUCGAAUUUCGGGUAGACUGCAGGGCUCGGGACCGGGAGAGGCUGGAGGUACUCCGGGGGUAGGGGUGAAAUCCUGUAAUCCCUGGGGGACCACCGGUGGCGAAGGCGUCCAGCUGGAACGGGUCCGACGGUGAGGGACGAAGCCCUGGGGAGCAAACCGG